GGAACAUGCUGUUUGCUCUUGCUCCCUCCUGCUGCAGCAGACGCCCCAAUAAAGCCUUGCCUGGAUUUCUUAUCUGGCCUCCGAUCAAUUUCUAUUGAUUAAGGAGGCCAAGAACUCUGUGGCUCUUAGUUUCUUUGUGGUUCAGAGUAGAGUCGAAGGAUGGGAUGCUCUGUGGGAAAUCUCUGCACCCACCAGUCACAGUUGGCAGUGCCCAGGAUGUUCCCUUCCAGACUGUUGGUGGGACUGCUAGCGCAUGAAGGUUUCCAAGAGGACCCAAAGGCCAAAUUCUUGAAAGAAAAUUCUCAUGGAUAAUACUUCUACUUCAUGGAUUUUGAAUCCAUAGCUCUCGCUAUUCCCAAGAACCUAAGCUCGUUCCUCAUAGUCACUCUGAUUUCCAAGGGCCAGUUCCGGUGACGAUUUGUGAAUAAUUCUUCUUUGUCAUUUUGCAUCAUUGUCCUUUUGGAAAUCUCCUCACAUGCCUUCUGUUUUUUUUUUUCUUCCCAGUUCUGAUGACUCCUUUUCUGUAGCCUUAAAGCAACUGCUCAGGACUCAUAUUUUUUUUAUCAUCCUUUCUUGGCCUGAGACUAUCUCUAGGUAAACCCGUCCAUUCUUGCUACUCUAGUUAUCUCCUGCUCCCCAAGGGCUGGACCACCACUGUUUUCCUGUUAUGCUUGUAAUCCUCACUAGGAUUUCUUCAGUUUAUC